AAUGGCAAACUUCUUAAUGGCCAUAAAGUCUCCAUCCAACACUUUAAGUCUCGUAAGGAGCGCGAGACUGAGAGGAAUCACCACACCCAGGUCUUCAUUAACAAGCAGAAGACCUUACUGAGACCAGAACACCAGGAUAACCCUGUCCAUGCAGAGGAUGAAGAAUGUGCAGACUCAGAAUAUGACUCCCUUCACACCAAGCCAGAAGGUAGAGCCAAAUAAAGAAAAUGCCCCAGCAGUAAACACAGUUCCUGCUGUAGAAGAGCUUACAACUGUGGAUGAGAAACCAGCUCUACCUCAAGUUCCAGCUGAGGAACAGAGUCCAGCUCCACCUCAUGUUCCAG